rnacentral:lncRNA from 1 species
GGGGGCGGCAGCGAAGCCGUCCAUAGAUUCAACCACCUCGACAGUCGUUCAGAACCCGAAGCCUACCCAACCUCCACCUCCUCCCUCCAAGGUCCGUCCUCUCCUUCUCCUCCUUCCUCAUCUCCUCCCGCACCCUCCACACCAUCCUCCAAUCAGCACACACAACAAAUCUCCUCAUCCAUUCCUCUAUUUUCUUUUUCACCAUUGGCAUCAGUAGCCACUACAUGCAACUUCCACUUUCUCUCUACGUAGUUAUUGUGUUUGUGCAAAGAAAGAUCCAUGUUCCUUUUUUUUUAAAAAAAAAUCACCUUUGUGCAUUCUUUUCGUGUGUUCAGUGGGCCGGCAAGGAGGGCAAAAUUGCAUCAUGCCCCCUCCUCUCUCUCUCUCUCUCUCUACCCCUUAUGCUGCAUCACAAUCACGAGCAUGCAAGUCAGUCUUUCUGAGGAUGGCGAACUCUGACCGAUCGACGAUGUUUCUCUGUUGAUACAUAAUGCAGGGCAUGGACGCCGUCGAGCGCUUGAAGGUCGGGUUCCAGAAGUUCAAGACCGAGGUCUAUGAGUAAGUCAUUCUGAGCUGUUUUCUGCACAGCACCCGCGUCUGAUUUAAUCGUUUCAGUUUCAGCCUCAUGGUGCUUGAUUUCUUUUGUGAAUUCUGCGAGCUCCAACUGAUCCCGUGCCCCCUUUGAUUUAUUUUUUCGCAGCAAAAAGCCAGAGCUGUUCGAGCCUCUCAAGGCUGGCCAGGCCCCCAAGGUAUGUGCUACUACCAUACUGCUUUCUCUUCCCGGCUCCCUUGUACGUUUUUUUUUUUUUGUCUCUAGCUAGCCACUCGCAACCCCUGCUGCACUAUUCAUCAUCCACCCUGACAUGUCCCUGGGUGCGCAGCGCAGGCAGCAUUAUUUUCGCCGGCCAGUAACGAGGUCAAAGCUGCACUAGACAAAAGCAAACGGAUUGUCCUAUAAUUGCACGGCUUGUCGGCAUUAGCGGCCAAUUGGCUAGCAGUACGUAGUCUUGUUGGAUAAUAACUAGUCCUGUAAUUGUGUUUGUACAAUUCUGCUCCAUGCAUGGGUCCCGUCGAGGCCAUGGCGCAAAGAAAAUGGUGUAGUGGGAUGCAUGCAUAAUCCUUCGCAGCUCCCACCCGGCCGGCCGCCACUGCGCGCGGAACACUAACGACAUGCGCGCUGCCAGUGCAUCCCCAUGUGCAAAGCCAUACGCCCUGCAUGCAUGCUAGGUGGUGAUUUGCAUUUGGUUGGUAAAUUAUUGAGAUGCCGCCGUCCCUCCGUAUAUAGGCUCACUUUGCAGAUGGCGGAUAUAGUUAUGUUAUUAUAUUGAUUUUUCCUUGAGUUUCCUAGUAGUAUAACGUGGUACCAGAAUCUUGCAAGUACACAGUUUAUUGUUUUUUAUGGGAGUUUUGAGCUGGCAUCGAUCGAUCCCAUGCGCCUAAUUUUAUGCAUUCAUGCAUGAUGAUGUAACUAGCUGGGGUUCUACUAGUUUUCUUUACCCAUAAAAGUUCGGUUACUAGUGGUCAAAUAUUCAUUGUAGUAAAGGAGCGAAGAUAAAACAUACAUUAAUUUGAACUACUCCUAUAGUAUGAUGGUCAAUUCCACCUUCUAGCCGUGUUGAAUUCUUUUUUGAACUGUACGUAAUGGUCACUUCCAUCAUUACUACAUUUGAACGCCCAUUUCAGAUGUCUCAUCAUUUUGAUUUUUGUUUGACACUCACAUACACAACACAAAGAGACGUGAACCCCAAGUGUAGGUGUGUAUUAGCGUUCAUCAUUCCAUGCCUAAUGUGUGUGUGGUCCACCCAUGAUUGAGCACAGGCCCCCCACCACUGCUGUGAUACAUUAUUGCUGAAACUAUCGUCGACCGACCGGUGCUGUACCUGUACGUCCUGUGGUUGUGAAGCACUGGUCCGUCGCUCACCGCACGCACGGGAUUCUUUCUUCAUCGUGACUUAUGCCUUGUUCAAGUUCCCACCGAAAUCCAAAAUUUUUUCAAGAUUCCCUGUCACAUCGAAUCUUACGGCACAUGCAUGAAGCAUUAGAUAUAGACGAAAACAAAAACUAAUUACAUAGUUUGCCUGUAAAUCACGAGAUGAAUCUUUUAAGCCUAGUUAGUCCAUGAAUAGAUAAUAUUUGUCAAAUAAAAACUAAUAGUUGGAUUGAACUGUCUUCUCUCCUGUCCUCUCACACACCCCUUGCAAAAGCAGUUAGGCGCAUAAAUGUUGGGCAGGGCCAGGUGGCCAGCUUUAGCAUUCGCAUCCUCGAGGAAUAUAUGCUCUACUACUCCACGUCUACAGUACAGAUGUCUCAAAGUUAGUGGAAGGUGAUUGCAUUACGCCAUGCGUCUUAAUCGCAUUUGUAGCAUGGAUUUGGACACCCACAUCUCAGGGCCGGCUAGAUAAACCCGUCACGUGAAAUUCGUUCUCGGUUCAUUCAUUCUUUCAUGCAUGCAUGCAUAUAUGCUAGCCUAGCUAGCUCACUUCGCGUGCCAACUUGCCCGGAAAUAUUCCUGCUUGGCCGCGCGCCGGGAAUGGGAUAGAUGAUAGUAGAUCAGCGUGUUGUUUUUCUUGGCCGCUGAUCGCCCCCAAGAACCACACGGAAACUAGCGUAGAAUAUCCUUGUCGCAACGCAACUACUCAAAAGACGUACCAGCUGGCGGGUCAAACCUCAAAAGUUGCCGCCUUUUGGUUUUAUUUUAGGUCUAGUCCUCCACUGAUCUGCCUACCUGCUUAUCGAUAAGAGAGAGCCACGGGAAACCGGCCUGAUGGUGAUUUCCCUCUUUUCGGCGAGACCUGACGGUGAUUUUCCUCUGCAGUACAUGGUGUUCGCCUGCUCCGACUCCCGUGUGUGCCCGUCGGUGACCCUGGGCCUGCAGCCCGGCGAGGCCUUCACCGUCCGCAACAUCGCCUCCAUGGUGCCACCCUACGACAAGGUAUGCAUACACAGACGACGUCCAAUACAAUACGUUCUUUUUGUUCUCACAAUCUCACGCUCACGCGCUCGUUCGAUCGCCUUUCGUUUUGUCGUCAAUCUGCAGACCAAGUACAGCGGCACCGGGUCCGCCAUCGAGUACGCCGUGUGCGCCCUCAAGGUGCAGGUGCUCGUCGUCAUUGGCCACAGCUGCUGCGGUGGCAUCAGGGCGCUCCUCUCCCUCAAGGACGGUGCACCUCACAACUUGUAAGUCAUCACUUUUUUUUUAUUUAUUUAUUUCACGGACACACUUAGCUUGAAGCGUGUGUUGUAUUUCAUUAAACCGAAAUGUAUGUAAUAAUCAACGUAAAAUGUACGUACAAGCAGCUAAGUUUCAUUCGGAACCUCUUUGUGUGCCUCGUGUCAUGAUUUUUUUUUUGACCCUAGCAUGAUGUCUCUGUUUGGUUUGGUGGUGUAUGUAUCCAGCCACUUCGUUGAGGACUGGGUCAGGAUCGGCUCCCCUGCCAAGGCGAAGGUGCACAAAGAGCAUGCCUCAGUGCCGUUCGAUGACCAGUGCUCCAUCCUGGAGAAGGUACGUACACCGUAUGUACACGCAUUGCAUGAAUGCAAUGAGUUGAUUUUGCUCACAAAAGGGACCUUGUAUUUUUCUGAAUGUUUCUGCAGGAGGCCGUGAACGUGUCCCUCGCCAACCUCAAGACUUACCCCUUCGUCAAGGAACGGCUGGCCAAAGGGACCCUCAAGCUGGUCGGCGCCCACUACGACUUCGUGUCCGGGAAGUUCCUCACAUGGGAGCCUGUAGGGUUCAUAACCUUCAUCCUUACAUUUUCAAUUGUACAUACUGUAUCUGAGACCACAUGGUUUUACCUCCUGGCACACUCCAGAUCCAAACUUCCUAUCCAUUUUCUCUCCUUCCUUGCCAUCGCAAUUAAUUUCUUUCUAAGAAGAACAAAAUCACCACCAAAUCCAACCACAACACUUGAAAUCCGCCCCAUGCAUAGCACUUGAAACCAGCCCCAACAUCUUAAUUGACCUACUUCUCAUCUUCUUCGGAUAUAAGAAGAUUGAACCCUAUCUCCACCGCAAAUACAUAUAUCGCGUUCACCCGCUACAAACUUCUAGUCCAGUUGUCGCCUGGUCCUCUAUCCGCUUCAAUUAGGCUUGCCGUUGCAUCGAAUUUCUAACCUCGUUGGUGCACCAGGCUCGUCUGUGGUGAUGGAUAUGAGGCCAUGGCCAUCGAGGUCCAUCUACCACAAAGAUGCCACUGCCUUUUUCCAUGGCCACCAUGGUUUGCCGAAUCAGUUGUCCCCCGAGGAAGCAAUCAUCAUGUUGGAGUCGUUCUUCUCUACAAAACGUGCUCAAGUAGCCAUCGACAUUCCGCUUAAGCGAUAUAUAUUGUCCACAAAAGCUGUGCUUGACCGUUACUCAUUUUUCAUCAAAUCCCGCGUUGUGCGGUGUCUCUUUCUCUCACUAAAACGAUUGCACAUGUCAUCAUGUUGAUGUUGCUAGUAAUCUAGACAAUGGGGCAGCUCAAAAGGUGAACGAGAGAGAUAUAGAGAGAAAGGGAGGGAGGGAGGGCCACACCGCAUCUAUCCAUCUGACUAUAAGGGGGCAAAAGAAGAAAAGAGGAGAAGAUGAGAAGUUGCAUUUGCCUCCCUGUUAUAUAUCAAAGGAGGGUCAAUGAAGCCGUCCAUAGAUUCCCACACCUCGUCACUCCUUGAGAACCAGAAGCCCACCCCAUCCAGUCCAAGGUCCGUUCCCUCAUCCUCCUCCCUCACCCUCGCCAUCAUCCUUCACAUAGCACACACAGUAAUCUUUGUCCGUCCCUCUGUUUUCUUUUCCUCUAUUGCCAUCAUGAGCCUGCAACUUCUGCUUUCUCCCUAUGUUGUAUUGUGUUGGUGCAAAGAAGAUCCAUCUUCCCCUUUUUGAUCAUAUUUUAUGCAUGCUUUCCUUAUGGUCCGUGGCAAGGAGGCCAAGCAUUGGCAUCAUGCCCCUUCUAUCUCUCUCUACCCCCUCAUGCCCCUUCUCUUUCUCUCUCUACCCCCGUCAUGCUGCAUCACGAUCAUGAGUAUGCAAGUUGGUCUUUCCGGGAUGGCAAAAUGACCGAUGGUUUUCUGGUUGUUGGUCUUGUAGGUGAUGGACGCCGUUGACCGCUUGAAGAGCGGGUUCGAGCAGUUCAAGAUCGAGGUCUAUGAGUAAGUCAUCUCUCUACUUAGAGCUGUUGUUUUUUUAAUUUGUAGCACCCAUGUUUGGUUUAAUAUUUUCAGUUUCAACCACUUGAUUUAUUUUGGGAAUUCUGAGAGCUCCGACUGAUACUGCCAUGUUGUCUUUUUUCUGCAGCAAGAAGCCAGAGCUUUUUGAGCCUCUCAAAUCUGGCCAGGCCCCCAGGGUAUGUGUAGGGAUGAAAAUGGAUCAAAUUUGUAUAGAAUCAAAUCCAUAUAUCACCUCUUAACACAUUUUUAUUCAAAUUCAGUUAUUGGAUACAUAUACUUUUGAAUACAAAUAUAAAACAAAUGUCUUGAAUCUGUAUUUCUAUUCAAAGAUUUACUCAAUUCAACUCAAAUUGUAUAUUGCUAAAUUCAACGUACAUGUAUACAAUUUUACUACUAAAUUCAUCGAUAAACCUUUUUUGCUUUAUCAAUUUUUUAGGUUUACAAACUAUUAUAUUGAAACAUUUGUGUAUAUAAUUUAAAAUGAAUGGUGACAGCUUGUCGCCAUUAGCGGCCAAUUGGCAAGUACUAGUAGUAGUCUGUUGGAUAUAAUCCCUCCAUCCUAAAUAUAUGCAGAAAUCAUCUAUUGAGGAGUAAUUCUUUUUUUCAGUUUAACUAAAAGUAUAAUUUAUUUCGAAAAAAUACUAAAUGCUCAAUCUAAUGAUAUUUAUUAUACACUAUAAACAUUAAUAUAUUUUUAAUAUAAAUAUAAUUAAAAUUUAAAAAUUUGAAGUUUCAUAAAGCGAGAUGUACAGUUAUUUUGGGACAAAAGAAAUAGUCCUAUAAUUAUUUUGUACUACAAAAGUCUGCUCCAUAGGGCACAAGCUUCAACUUUGGCACUACUAGUCAUAGGCUCAUUGCGCAAAGAAAUGGUGGUGGGAGUGGGAUACAUACAUGCUCCUUCUUUUCCCGAUCGAUCGACCUGAUGCUGAUUAUUUUCCUCUGCUGCAUGCAUGCAGUACAUGGUGUUCGCCUGCGCUGACUCCCGUGUGUGCCCGUCGGUGACCCUGGGCCUGAUGCCCGGCGAGGCCUUCACCGUCCGCAACAUCGCCGCCCUGGUCCCAGGCUACGACAAGGUACGUACACACUGACCGUCGUCGCCGACGACACAAAAUGGCCGUCUAUUUCUCCUCGGCCCGGCCGGCCGCCGCCGGCCGGGCAUGACAGAGGAUCGAGGACUGACACGGCCGCGCCUUUCGUAUUCGUCACCUGCAGACCAAGUACACCGGCAUCGGGUCCGCCAUCGAGUACGCCGUGUGCGCCCUCAAGGUGCAGGUGCUCGUCGUCAUUGGCCAUAGCUGCUGCGGUGGCAUCAGGGCGCUCCUCUCCCUCCAGGACGGUGCACCUGACAACUUGUAAGACGCCACCGUAAAAUAUACAAAGUUUCAUUAAGAUAAAACAAAAAUUCUUUUGUACCUCUAUGAUGAUUUUGAUCCCAGCGCAUUUUUAUCUGUUGUUUUUUUUGUGGUGUAUCCAGCCACUUUGUUGAGGACUGGGUCAAGAUUGGCUUCCCUGCCAAGAUGAAGGUGAAGAAAGAGAACGCUUCGGUGCCGUUCGAUGACCAAUGCUACAUUCUAGAGAAGGUAUGUACACCGUACAUGCACGAGCAGUUAGUUGCUGCAUGAAUGGAUUAAUUUUUGCUCACCGGAGAACCUUGUAUUUCUGAAAAUGUUUCUGCAGGAGGCCGUGAAUGUGUCCUUGGAGAACCUCAAGACCUACCCAUUCGUCAAGGAAGGGCUGGCCAACGGUACCUUAAAGCUGGUCGGCGGCCACUAUGACUUCGUGAAAGGAGAGUUCCUCACAUGGAAAGUCUAGAGCUAAGGCACCCGGACGGCCCAACUCCUACAUCAUCAUAAAUUUAUACCACAUAUAUACCUACCGAUAUGCACCCGAUCGAUGCGAAUGCGCGGAGUACUACAUGCAUGUUUUCAGCAACUACAUAUAUACAUACCGGAUCGCCCCAAUGUGAAUGUAAUAAGCAAUAGCAUUUUCAACCGCUUUCAUUUCUAACGCCGAGCUUUUAUGUACUAUAUAUAUAAUAUGAUGCAUAAUUGACCGGCUUGUGGUCAAAAGACAUCAA